UACGUAGGCAGCGAGCGUUGUUCGGAAUUACUGGGCGUAAAGAGUGCGUAGGCGGUCCUGUAAGUUUGGUGUGAAAUCUCCCGGCUCAACUGGGAGGGUGCGCCGAAGACUGCAGGGCUUGAGUAUGGGAGAGGUAAGCGGAAUUCCUGGUGUAGCGGUGAAAUGCGUAGAUAUCAGGAGGAACACCUGUGGUGUAGACAGCUUACUGGACCAUAACUGACGCUGAGGCACGAAAGCGUGGGUAGCAAACAGG
rnacentral:rRNA from 1 species